AUUGAACGCUGGCGGCAUGCCUUACACAUGCAAGUCGAACGGUAACGGGCCUUCGGGUGCCGACGAGUGGCGAACGGGUGAGUAAUGCAUCGGAACGUACCCAUCAGUGGGGGAUAACUCUCCGAAAGGAGGGCUAAUACCGCAUAUUCUGUGCGCAGGAAAGCGGGGGACCGCAAGGCCUCGCGCUGAUGGAGCGGCCGGUGUCAGAUUAGCUAGUUGGUGGGGUAAAGGCCUACCAAGGCGACGAUCUGUAGCGGGUCUGAGAGGAUGAUCCGCCACACUGGGACUGGGACACGGCCCAGACUCCUACGGGCGGCAGCGGUGGGGAAUUUUGGACAAUGGGGGCAACCCUGAUCCAGCCAUGCCGCGUGAGUGAAGAAGGCCCUCGGGUUGUAAAGCUCUUUCGGCCGGGAAGAAAUCGCAUCUCCUAAUACGGGGUGUGGAUGACGGUACCGGAAUAAGAAGCACCGGCUAACUACGUGCCAGCCGCCGCGGUAA
rnacentral:rRNA from 1 species